rnacentral:rRNA from 1 species
GGCGGACGGGUGAGUAAUGUCUGGGAAACUGCCUGAUGGAGGGGGAUAACUACUGGAAACGGUAGCUAAUACCGCAUAACGUCGCAAGACCAAAGAGGGGGACCUUCGGGCCUCUUGCCAUCGGAUGUGCCCAGAUGGGAUUAGUUAGUAGGUGGGGUAGCGGCUCACCUAGGCGACGAUCCCUAGCUGGUCUGAGAGGAUGACCAGCCACACUGGAACUGAGACACGGUCCAGACUCCUACGGGAGGCAGCAUG